rnacentral:rRNA from 1 species
AAGUAGGGGAUCGUAAGACCUUGCGCUUUUGGAGCGGCCGAUGUCUGAUUAGCUAGUUGGUGGGGUAAUGGCCUACCAAGGCUACGAUCAGUAGCUGGUCUGAGAGGACGGCCAGCCACACUGGGACUGAGACACGGCCCAGACUCCUACGGGAGGCAGCAGUGGGGAAUUUUGGACAAUGGGCGCAAGCCUGAUCCAGCCAUGCCGCGUGAGUGAAGAAGGCCUUCGGGUUGUAAAGCUCUUUCAGCCGGGAAGAAAAGGUUGCGAUUAAUAAUCGCAAUUCAUGACGGUACCGAAAGAAGAAGCACCGGCUAACUACGUGCCAGCAGCCGCGGUAAUACGUAGGGUGCGAGCGUUAAUCGGAAUUACUGGGCGUAAAGGGUGCGCAGGCGGUUUUGUAAGUCAGAUGUGAAAUCCCCGGGCUUAACCUGGGAACUGCGUUUGAAACUACAAAGCUAGAGU